rnacentral:rRNA from 1 species
GAUGAACGCUGGCGGCGUGCCUAAUACAUGCAAGUCGAGCGAACAGACGAGGAGCUUGCUCCUCUGACGUUAGCGGCGGACGGGUGAGUAACACGUGGAUAACCUACCUAUAAGACUGGGAUAACUUCGGAAAACCGGCGCUAAUACCGGAUAAUAUAUUGAACCGCAUGGUUCAAUAGUGAAAGACGGUUUUGCUGUCACUUCUAGCUGGAUCCGCGCCGCAUUAUCUAGUUGGUACGGUAACGGCUUACCAAGGCGACGAUGCGUAGCCGACCGGUGAGGCGGAUAGGCCACACUGGAACGGAGACGCGGUCCAGACUCCUACGGGAGGCAGCAGUAGGGAAUCUUCCGCAAUGGGCGAAAGCCUGACGGAGCAACGCCGCGUGAGUGAUGAAGGUCUUCGGAUCGUAAAACUCUGUUACUAGGGAAGAACAAAUGUGUAAGUAACUAUGCACGUCUUGACGGUACCUAAUCAGAAAGCCACGGCUAACUACGUG